rnacentral:rRNA from 1 species
UAAUACGUAGGGUGCGAGCGUUGUCCGGAAUUAUUGGGCGUAAAGGGCUCGUAGGCGGUCUGUUGCGUCAGGAGUGAAAACUCGGGGCUUAACCCCGAGCCUGCUUCUGAUACGGGCAGACUAGAGGUAUGCAGGGGAGAACGGAAUUCCUGGUGUAGCGGUGAAAUGCGCAGAUAUCAGGAGGAACACCGGUGGCGAAGGCGGUUCUCUGGGCAUUACCUGACGCUGAGGAGCGAAAGUGUGGGGAGCGAACAGGAUUAGAUACCCUGGUAGUCCACACCGUAAACGUUGGGCGCUAGGUGUGGGACUCAUUCCACGAGUUCCGUGCCGCAGCUAACGCAUUAAGCGCCCCGCCUGGGGAGUACGGCCGCAAGGCUA